rnacentral:pre_miRNA from 1 species
UAUAAGGGAUUUUGAGUUUUUGCUUGUAAUGUUUGACCACUCGUCUUAUUCAAUUUUUUUUUAAAAUUAUUAUUUAUUUUAUUUGUGACUUACUUUAUUAUCUAUAGUACUUUAAGCACAACUUUUUGUUUUUUAUAUUUGCAAAAAAAAUUGAAUAAGACGAAUGGUCAAACGUUGCAAGCAAAAACUCAAAAUCCCUUAUA